GUAGCUAUGUGCGGAACGGAUAACCGCUGAAAGCAUCUAAGCGGGAAGCCGACCUCAAGAAGAGAUCUCCCAUCCCCAUGAGGGAGUAAGACUCCUGGUAGACCACCAGGUUGAUAGGCCACAGGUGUAAGUGCAGCGAUGUAUGCAGCCGAGUGGUACUAAUAAGUCGAGGGCUUAAUGGU
rnacentral:rRNA from 1 species